ACAGCCCAGAUCACCAUUUAAGGCCCCAAAAUAUUUACUAAGUGAUAAAGGAUGUAAUAUUACAUAGACAACCAGGAGGUUUGCUUAGAAGCAGCCAUUCCUUUAAAAAGUGCGUAAUAGCAUACUGGUCAAGUGAUUUUGCGCCGAAAAUGAAUGGGACUAAGUAAUUUGCCGAAGAUGUGAGAAUUAUUCAGUAGAAGAGCGUUCUGUUUUGUUUGAAGCAAUAGCUAAAGCAGUUGUGGACUAAACAGAAGUGAGAAUGUCGGCUUAAGUAACGAAAACAUUGGUGGAAAUCCAAUGCCCCGUAAAUCUAAGGUUUCCUUCGCCAGGUUCGUCCACGAAGGGUUAGUCAGGUCCUAAAAUGAGGUUUAACAACGUAAUUGAUGGACAACAGGUUAAUAUUCCUGUACCAUUUUUCAUUUUAUUAAGAGUGACGAAAACGGCUAGGUUAGCCAAGCACUGGUUUUUGGUUUAAUAUUUUAAUGUGUUGAUGAAUGUUAUCAAAAAAUAUUUUGAGCAAAAAAAUAGAAUACGAGAGAUACUACGGUAUUGCAAGUAACUGAUGUCAAGUUUCCUAGAAAAACUUUUGUAGUAUUAAAUGAAUUAUGCCUGUACCGUAAACUGACACAGGUAGAUUAGUAGAGAAUACUAAGGGGCGCGAGAUAACUGUUUCUAAGGAACUCGGCAAAAUGACUCCGUAACUUAGGAAGAAGGAGUGCCUCAGGUAUGAGGUCGCAGUGAGCAGGCCCAAGCGUCUGUUUACCAAAAACACAGGUCUCCGCUAAGUUGAAAAACGAUGUAUGGGGGCUGACGCCUGCCCAGUGCCGGAAGGUUAAAGAAGUUGGUUAGCGUAAGCAAAGCUAGUAACUGAAGCCCUGGUGAACGGCGGCCGUAACUAUAACGGUCCUAAGGUAGCGAAAUUCCUUGUCGGGUAAGUUCCGACCCGCACGAAAGGCGUAACGAUUUGGGCGCUGUCUCGGAAACAGACUCGGUGAAAUAGAAUUGACUGUGAAGAUGCGGUCUACUUGCACUUGGACAGAAAGACCCUAUGAAGCUUUACUGUAACUUGAAAUUGAUUUUGGGCUUUUUUUGCGCAGCAUAGGUGGGAGGCUAUGAAUCUCUUUUUCGGAAGUUGAUGAGCCAUAAUAUGAGAUACCACUCUAAAAGAGUUAGAACUCUAAUGAUAUUACUAUGAUAUUUGACAGUUUCAGGCGGGCAGUUUUACUGGGGCGGUAGCCUCCUAAAAAGUAACGGAGGCGUACAAAGGUUUUCUCAGUCUGGACGGAAAUUAGUUGGAGAGUGUAAAGAUAUAAGAAAGCUUGACUGUGAGACCUAUAAGUCAAACAGAGACUAAAGUCGGUCUUAGUGACCCGACGGUUCUGAAUGGAAAGGCCGUCGUUCAACAGAUAAAAGUUACGUAUGACCAGCUCUGAAGAGGGAAUAAUCAUGCGGUCUGAAAAUGAGCAUGAUAUAAAAUCAAAUAUAAAAAAUGCUGUGAUGCAUUUUGUUAAAACCAAACUAAAGCAUAGAAAGAUCUGAUACCUAUUGGUAUACUGAUUGUCGGCCUCAAAUUAUAAUGGAAAGUAAUUUUGGGUUAAGUAGACCUAAAAGUCUAGCGGGAUGGAAAGGUAUUAAAAUCCUGGGGCGAGCUUAUUUCAUGUAGGCCUACAGAUGCUCUCUCGAGCUAUAAGGAAUCGUUGCAUAAAAUAUCAUAAUUAUCUGUCAGGGUAUCUAUACCGAAUAAACCCCUUGUAACCGUAAGAUCGGUACACUUCAAUUUGGAAAACAGUUGGUAACACCUGUUUGGUAUACACCAAGAAGUUGGUAUAAAGACGGAGACCUACUUGAACUAUCUAUACAUAGUUAUAGGUAAGUAUUUAUAUUUGGAACUGGGUCACCUUCUCUUAAUCACCAUAAAAAAUAAAAUAUGGCACUCCAAAUGUAUUAAGGGGGGGAAAGGAUGGGACACCAAGCUAAAGCCUAGACUGAGUUAACAGUCAAUGCAUGAAAAGUGAUGGAGUAACUUCCGGGAUAAGCUAAAUUGGCCCGAAACCUAAGUUAAUCAUCCCUACAAUUGAUGAUUACUAUUGGUGCAUUCUAAACAGAAAUGUGUUAUUAAUAUAUUCAACGGCAAAUCAAUUUUAAAAUUAUUUAAUUAGGGAUUAAGAAAUAACUUCAAAAUUGACUUUAAACGAUAAUAUAUUAUUACUUACAAUUUCCUUUAGAUCGUACCUUGGGUUUAGUAGCCGGAUGCGUAGUAAUACGCAUGUCCGGUUUCGGAGGAGAAGUCGAAUUACAAAUACAUAAGUAGUUCAACUCACUCUCUAACUCUAGGGAUAACAGGCUGAUCUCCCCCAAGAGUUCACAUCGACGGGGAGGUUUGGCACCUCGAUGUCGGCUCAUCGCAACCUGGGGCGGUAGUACGUCCCAAGGGUUAGGCUGUUCGCCUAUUAAAGCGGUACGUGAGCUGGGUUCAGAACGUCGAGAGACAGUUCGGUCCAUAUCCGGUGUAAGCGUUAGAGUAUUGAAAGGAUCUUUCCUUAGUACGAGAGGACCGGGAAGGACACACCACUGAUGUGCCAGUUUUUGUACCAACAGAAUACGCUGGGUAGUCAAGUGUGGAGUGGAUAA
rnacentral:rRNA from 1 species